GCCCCGGUAGCUCAGUGGAUAGAGCAGCGGACUUCUAAUCCGCAGGUCGUUGGUUCGAAUCCAACCCGGGGUG
rnacentral:tRNA from 1 species